rnacentral:rRNA from 1 species
UAAGCGUACACGGUGGAUGCCCUGGCAGUCAGAGGCGAUGAAGGACGUGCUAAUCUGCGAUAAGCGUCGGUAAGGUGAUAUGAACCGUUAUAACCGGCGAUUUCCGAAUGGGGAAACCCAGUGUGAUUCGUCACACUAUCAUUAACUGAAUCCAUAGGUUAAUGAGGCGAACCGGGGGAACUGAAACAUCUAAGUACCCCGAGGAAAAGAAAUCAACCGAGAUUCCCCCAGUAGCGGCGAGCGAACGGGGAGCAGCCCAGAGCCUGAAUCAGUAUGUGUGUUAGUGGAAGCGUCUGGAAAGGCGCGCGAUACAGGGUGACAGCCCCGUACACAAAAAUGCACAUGCUGUGAGCUCGAUGAGUAGGGCGGGACACGUGGUAUCCUGUCUGAAUAUGGGGGGACCAUCCUCCAAGGCUAAAUACUCCUGACUGACCGAUAGUGAACCAGUACCGUGAGGGAAAGGCGAAAAGAACCCCGGCGAGGGGAGUGAAAAAGAACCUGAAACCGUGUACGUACAAGCAGUGGGAGCACAGAGCAAUCUGUGUGACUGCGUACCUUUUGUAUAAUGGGUCAGCGACUUAUAUUCUGUAGCAAGGUUAACCGAAUAGGGGAGCCGAAGGGAAACCGAGUCUUAACUGGGCGUUAAGUUGCAGGGUAUAGACCCGAAACCCGGUGAUCUAGCCAUGGGCAGGUUGAAGGUUGGGUAACACUAACUGGAGGACCGAACCGACUAAUGUUGAAAAAUUAGCGGAUGACUUGUGGCUGGGGGUGAAAGGCCAAUCAAACCGGGAGAUAGCUGGUUCUCCCCGAAAGCUAUUUAGGUAGCGCCUCGUGAAUUCAUCUCCGGGGGUAGAGCACUGUUUCGGCAAGGGGGUCAUCCCGACUUACCAACCCGAUGCAAACUGCGAAUACCGGAGAAUGUUAUCACGGGAGACACACGGCGGGUGCUAACGUCCGUCGUGAAGAGGGAAACAACCCAGACCGCCAGCUAAGGUCCCAAAGUCAUGGUUAAGUGGGAAACGAUGUGGGAAGGCCCAGACAGCCAGGAUGUUGGCUUAGAAGCAGCCAUCAUUUAAAGAAAGCGUAAUAGCUCACUGGUCGAGUCGGCCUGCGCGGAAGAUGUAACGGGGCUAAACCAUGCACCGAAGCUGCGGCAGCGACGCUGAUGCGUUGUUGGGUAGGGGAGCGUUCUGUAAGCCUGUGAAGGUGUGCUGUGAGGCAUGCUGGAGGUAUCAGAAGUGCGAAUGCUGACAUAAGUAACGAUAAAGCGGGUGAAAAGCCCGCUCGCCGGAAGACCAAGGGUUCCUGUCCAACGUUAAUCGGGGCAGGGUGAGUCGACCCCUAAGGCGAGGCCGAAAGGCGUAGUCGAUGGGAAACAGGUUAAUAUUCCUGUACUUGGUGUUACUGCGAAGGGGGGACGGAGAAGGCUAUGUUGGCCGGGCGACGGUUGUCCCGGUUUAAGCGUGUAGGCUGGUUUUCCAGGCAAAUCCGGAAAACUAAGGCUGAGGCGUGAUGACGAGGCACUACGGUGCUGAAGCAACAAAUGCCCUGCUUCCAGGAAAAGCCUCUAAGCAUCAGGUAACAUCAAAUCGUACCCCAAACCGACACAGGUGGUCAGGUAGAGAAUACCAAGGCGCUUGAGAGAACUCGGGUGAAGGAACUAGGCAAAAUGGUGCCGUAACUUCGGGAGAAGGCACGCUGAUAUGUAGGUGAAGUCCCUCGCGGAUGGAGCUGAAAUCAGUCGAAGAUACCAGCUGGCUGCAACUGUUUAUUAAAAACACAGCACUGUGCAAACACGAAAGUGGACGUAUACGGUGUGACGCCUGCCCGGUGCCGGAAGGUUAAUUGAUGGGGUCAGCGCAAGCGAAGCUCUUGAUCGAAGCCCCGGUAAACGGCGGCCGUAACUAUAACGGUCCUAAGGUAGCGAAAUUCCUUGUCGGGUAAGUUCCGACCUGCACGAAUGGCGUAAUGAUGGCCAGGCUGUCUCCACCCGAGACUCAGUGAAAUUGAACUCGCUGUGAAGAUGCAGUGUACCCGCGGCAAGACGGAAAGACCCCGUGAACCUUUACUAUAGCUUGACACUGAACAUUGAGCCUUGAUGUGUAGGAUAGGUGGGAGGCUUUGAAGUGUGGACGCCAGUCUGCAUGGAGCCGACCUUGAAAUACCACCCUUUAAUGUUUGAUGUUCUAACGUUGACCCGUAAUCCGGGUUGCGGACAGUGUCUGGUGGGUAGUUUGACUGGGGCGGUCUCCUCCUAAAGAGUAACGGAGGAGCACGAAGGUUGGCUAAUCCUGGUCGGACAUCAGGAGGUUAGUGCAAUGGCAUAAGCCAGCUUGACUGCGAGCGUGACGGCGCGAGCAGGUGCGAAAGCAGGUCAUAGUGAUCCGGUGGUUCUGAAUGGAAGGGCCAUCGCUCAACGGAUAAAAGGUACUCCGGGGAUAACAGGCUGAUACCGCCCAAGAGUUCAUAUCGACGGCGGUGUUUGGCACCUCGAUGUCGGCUCAUCACAUCCUGGGGCUGAAGUAGGUCCCAAGGGUAUGGCUGUUCGCCAUUUAAAGUGGUACGCGAGCUGGGUUUAGAACGUCGUGAGACAGUUCGGUCCCUAUCUGCCGUGGGCGCUGGAGAACUGAGGGGGGCUGCUCCUAGUACGAGAGGACCGGAGUGGACGCAUCACUGGUGUUCGGGUUGUCAUGCCAAUGGCACUGCCCGGUAGCUAAAUGCGGAAGAGAUAAGUGCUGAAAGCAUCUAAGCACGAAACUUGCCCCGAGAUGAGUUCUCCCUGACUCCUUGAGAGUCCUGAAGGAACGUUGAAGACGACGACGUUGAUAGGCCGGGUGUGUAAGCGCAGCGAUGCGUUGAGCUAACCGGUACUAAUGAACCGUGAGGCUUAACCUUACAACGCCGAAGCUGUU